CUAAUUCAUAUAUUAUCUGAACACUUGUACAAACUCCUUAAUAUUUAAUGUUCAUCGUUGUUUUUUGCCUCUCAACUUUGUCCUGUUGCGCGAACGUGUUCUUCUAUGCUAUUCCAGGUUAUGGCUACCUACACUGUGGAAUGCAUCUGUUUUCUUGCUCCUAUGCUGAUUUGGCGCUUGGCGGUUGCUUUCCUCCUUGAAGCACACCAGAUUCUGAGGCACCUUCUUCUCCCACUUGACCACAGCUACCAUAUCCUCAGGUGGGAAAGACGAUUGCGGCGUUGUGACCUCCUCCUCAGUCACUAGCGGAGAGACGUCUGUCACAAUCAGAACUUCCUCGGAUGUCGCUAUCUCAGGUGGCACUGAAGAUUCGGCUGUAGUCGAUGGUGGGUAAGGCGCGACAUUGGUUUCAUUAGCCAUUUUUGCAGUAGCGAUGGUGGUAGCAGUGGGAGGUGGUGUAGAGUGAGAGUAGAGGUGGUGGGGGAAACCAAUGCUGGGAAAAGUAAAGAUUGAAGAGAGGCUUUGUGUUUGGUGCGGAGAGCCAAAGACAUGAUACCAUAUUUAUUAAUUAAAUAAACGAGUUAUUU
rnacentral:lncRNA from 1 species